ACGGUUCUUCAUUUUGAAUUGUUUCUCAUAUAGCGAUUGUUACCGAUGGAUCACUAUUCCAUCUCAAACUCGAAGAAGGUGAAUGGUGUCAUAAAGAUGACUCAGAGGAGGCAGAAAUCUAAAAGCCGGCGACUCGAAGAACAUAAGCGGGAGGGAGAGAAGGAGGAGGAAUAAAGAGCUAAGACAAGAGCUAGAGAUGUUGAUGCAACGGUCGAAAGAGGAUUUUAUUCAAGAACUGGAGAGGAAAGCACAAGAACCUUUUUCUUCUGCUUUAAUUGAAGCAUUCAGUAGUAGUCCUGAAGAUAUACACAAAGAGGGUGAGAUUUUAGAAGAAAUUUCACAUCAAAUGGUGGCGUUUAGAUAUCAUCAUCAUAAGCAACAAAAAGCAGAGGCAACUUUAUCUGAUCACGUGAAGCGUCAAGAAACAAUGCAUGGAGGAGGGAGUUACGAGGAUUUAAAGGCAGAGCUAAAGAUUGUACGAGAAAUAACACGUGAAACAGAUAUUUCUUUAUAUCAUUUAAAGAAGCAGCUUCAAACAGAGGAUUCUCUACGCCUUUUGAAGAAGAAAAGAAGAUUAGCAUAGUGUUUCCCUUUCU